rnacentral:hammerhead_ribozyme from 1 species
AAGCGAAACGGGGGGCGUUCCCCCGUCUGCCUGGCGUGGUGGCCAGGCACUGAUGAGCAGCCGACC